rnacentral:rRNA from 1 species
AACCUGCCCCUACGCUCUGGGAGUAACUCCGGGAAACCCGGGGGCGUAAUACCGGAUACGACUUCCUUUGGCAUCACGGGAAGUGGAAAGUUUUUCGGCUAGGGAUGGGGCCCGCGGCCUAUCAGCUUGUUGGUGGGGUAAUGGCCCACCAAGGCGACGACGGGUAGCCGGCCUGAGAGGGCGACCGGCCACACUGGGACUGAGACACGGCCCAG